rnacentral:rRNA from 1 species
GGGGAAUAUUGCACAAUGGGGGGAACCCUGAUGCAGCGAUGCCGCGUGGAGGAAGAAGGUUUUCGGAUUGUAAACUCCUUUAACAGGGACGAUAAUGACGGUACCUGAAGAAAAAGCUCCGGCUAACUACGUGCCAGCAGCCGCGGUAAUACGUAGGGAGCGAGCGUUGUCCGGAAUUACUGGGUGUAAAGGGAGCGUAGGCGGGACGGUAAGUCAGGUGUGAAAUAUACGUGCUUAACAUGUAGACUGCACUUGAAACUGCUGUUCUUGAGUGAAGUAGAGGUAAGCGGAAUUCCUAGUGUAGCGGUGAAAUGCGUAGAUAUUAGGAGGAACAUCGGUGGCGAAGGCGGCUUACUGGGCUUUUACUGACGCUGAGGCUCGAAAGCGUGGGGAGCAAACAGGAUUAGAUACCCUGGUAGUCCACGCUGUAAACGAUGAUUACUAGGUGUGGGGGGACUGACCCCUUCCGUGCCGCAGUUAACACAAUAAGUAAUCCACCUGGGGAGUACGACCGCAAGGUUGAAACUCAAAGGAAUUGACGGGGGCCCGCACAAGCAGUGGAGUAUGUGGUUUAAUUCGAAGCAACGCGAAGAACCUUACCAGGUCUUGACAUCGUAUGCAUAGUCUAGAGAUAGAUGAAAUCCCUUCGGGGACAUAUAGACAGGUGGUGCAUGGUUGUCGUCAGCUCGUGUCGUGAGAUGUUGGGUUAAGUCCCGCAACGAGCGCAACCCUUACCUUUAGUUGCUACGCAAGAGCACUCUAGAGGGACUGCCGUUGACAAAACGGAGGAAGGUGGGGAUGACGUCAAAUCAUCAUGCCCCUUAUGACCUGGGCUACACACGUACUACAAUGGCAAUUAACAGAGGGAAGCAAAACAGCGAUGUGGAGCAAAUCCCGAAAAAUUGUCUCAGUUCAGAUUGCAGGCUGCAACUCGCCUGCAUGAAGUCGGAAUUGCUAGUAAUCGCAGAUCAGAAUGCUGCGGUGAAUACGUUCCCG